rnacentral:piRNA from 1 species
GGAAUAGCCCCUCAUUGCAGAGAAUCC